rnacentral:rRNA from 1 species
GGGUUGUGAGGUUAAGCGACUAAGCGUACACGGUGGAUGCCCUGGCAGUCAGAGGCGAUGAAGGACGUGCUAAUCUGCGAUAAGCGUCGGUAAGGUGAUAUGAACCGUUAUAACCGGCGAUUUCCGAAUGGGGAAACCCAGUGUGAUUCGUCACACUAUCAUUAACUGAAUCCAUAGGUUAAUGAGGCGAACCGGGGGAACUGAAACAUCUAAGUACCCCGAGGAAAAGAAAUCAACCGAGAUUCCCCCAGUAGCGGCGAGCGAACGGGGAGCAGCCCAGAGCCUGAAUCAGUGUGUGUGUUAGUGGAAGCGUCUGGAAAGGCGCGCGAUACAGGGUGACAGCCCCGUACACAAAAAUGCACAUGCUGUGAGCUCGAUGAGUAGGGCGGGACACGUGGUAUCCUGUCUGAAUAUGGGGGGACCAUCCUCCAAGGCUAAAUACUCCUGACUGACCGAUAGUGAACCAGUACCGUGAGGGAAAGGCGAAAAGAACCCCGGCGAGGGGAGUGAAAAAGAACCUGAAACCGUGUACGUACAAGCAGUGGGAGCACGCUUAGGCGUGUGACUGCGUACCUUUUGUAUAAUGGGUCAGCGACUUAUAUUCUGUAGCAAGGUUAACCGAAUAGGGGAGCCGAAGGGAAACCGAGUCUUAACUGGGCGUUAAGUUGCAGGGUAUAGACCCGAAACCCGGUGAUCUAGCCAUGGGCAGGUUGAAGGUUGGGUAACACUAACUGGAGGACCGAACCGACUAAUGUUGAAAAAUUAGCGGAUGACUUGUGGCUGGGGGUGAAAGGCCAAUCAAACCGGGAGAUAGCUGGUUCUCCCCGAAAGCUAUUUAGGUAGCGCCUCGUGAAUUCAUCUCCGGGGGUAGAGCACUGUUUCGGCAAGGGGGUCAUCCCGACUUACCAACCCGAUGCAAACUGCGAAUACCGGAGAAUGUUAUCACGGGAGACACACGGCGGGUGCUAACGUCCGUCGUGAAGAGGGAAACAACCCAGACCGCCAGCUAAGGUCCCAAAGUCAUGGUUAAGUGGGAAACGAUGUGGGAAGGCCCAGACAGCCAGGAUGUUGGCUUAGAAGCAGCCAUCAUUUAAAGAAAGCGUAAUAGCUCACUGGUCGAGUCGGCCUGCGCGGAAGAUGUAACGGGGCUAAACCAUGCACCGAAGCUGCGGCAGCGACACUGUGUGUUGUUGGGUAGGGGAGCGUUCUGUAAGCCUGCGAAGGUGUGCUGUGAGGCAUGCUGGAGGUAUCAGAAGUGCGAAUGCUGACAUAAGUAACGAUAAAGCGGGUGAAAAGCCCGCUCGCCGGAAGACCAAGGGUUCCUGUCCAACGUUAAUCGGGGCAGGGUGAGUCGACCCCUAAGGCGAGGCCGAAAGGCGUAGUCGAUGGGAAACAGGUUAAUAUUCCUGUACUUGGUGUUACUGCGAAGGGGGGACGGAGAAGGCUAUGUUGGCCGGGCGACGGUUGUCCCGGUUUAAGCGUGUAGGCUGGUUUUCCAGGCAAAUCCGGAAAAUCAAGGCCGAGGCGUGAUGACGAGGCACUACGGUGCUGAAGCAACAAAUGCCCUGCUUCCAGGAAAAGCCUCUAAGCAUCAGGUAACAUCAAAUCGUACCCCAAACCGACACAGGUGGUCAGGUAGAGAAUACCAAGGCGCUUGAGAGAACUCGGGUGAAGGAACUAGGCAAAAUGGUGCCGUAACUUCGGGAGAAGGCACGCUGAUACGUAGGUGAAGUCCCUCGCGGAUGGAGCUGAAAUCAGUCGAAGAUACCAGCUGGCUGCAACUGUUUAUUAAAAACACAGCACUGUGCAAACACGAAAGUGGACGUAUACGGUGUGACGCCUGCCCGGUGCCGGAAGGUUAAUUGAUGGGGUCAGCGCAAGCGAAGCUCUUGAUCGAAGCCCCGGUAAACGGCGGCCGUAACUAUAACGGUCCUAAGGUAGCGAAAUUCCUUGUCGGGUAAGUUCCGACCUGCACGAAUGGCGUAAUGAUGGCCAGGCUGUCUCCACCCGAGACUCAGUGAAAUUGAACUCGCUGUGAAGAUGCAGUGUACCCGCGGCAAGACGGAAAGACCCCGUGAACCUUUACUAUAGCUUGACACUGAACAUUGAGCCUUGAUGUGUAGGAUAGGUGGGAGGCUUUGAAGUGUGGACGCCAGUCUGCAUGGAGCCGACCUUGAAAUACCACCCUUUAAUGUUUGAUGUUCUAACGUGGACCCGUAAUCCGGGUUGCGGACAGUGUCUGGUGGGUAGUUUGACUGGGGCGGUCUCCUCCUAAAGAGUAACGGAGGAGCACGAAGGUUGGCUAAUCCUGGUCGGACAUCAGGAGGUUAGUGCAAUGGCAUAAGCCAGCUUGACUGCGAGCGUGACGGCGCGAGCAGGUGCGAAAGCAGGUCAUAGUGAUCCGGUGGUUCUGAAUGGAAGGGCCAUCGCUCAACGGAUAAAAGGUACUCCGGGGAUAACAGGCUGAUACCGCCCAAGAGUUCAUAUCGACGGCGGUGUUUGGCACCUCGAUGUCGGCUCAUCACAUCCUGGGGCUGAAGUAGGUCCCAAGGGUAUGGCUGUUCGCCAUUUAAAGUGGUACGCGAGCUGGGUUUAGAACGUCGUGAGACAGUUCGGUCCCUAUCUGCCGUGGGCGCUGGAGAACUGAGGGGGGCUGCUCCUAGUACGAGAGGACCGGAGUGGACGCAUCACUGGUGUUCGGGUUGUCAUGCCAAUGGCACUGCCCGGUAGCUAAAUGCGGAAGAGAUAAGUGCUGAAAGCAUCUAAGCACGAAACUUGCCCCGAGAUGAGUUCUCCCUGACUCCUUGAGAGUCCUGAAGGAACGUUGAAGACGACGACGUUGAUAGGCCGGGUGUGUAAGCGCAGCGAUGCGUUGAGCUAACCGGUACUAAUGAACCGUGAGGCUUAACCUUACAACGCCGAAGGUGUUU